rnacentral:lncRNA from 1 species
CCCACCUAAAAGGUACAUCCUAUGCUCACUUCCAGAGGAGAUGAGGAGGCUUGAGGAGAAACUGGAUGACCGGGAGAGGCAGAGAGAGCGAGAGCGUGAGAGAGACCGAGAGGGAGAGAAGGACCCCGGGGUAGAGAGGCGGCUAGAGCAAUGGAAGAGAGAAGUUGGACGAGAAUUGAGCAGCCUCAGAGGCCACAUUGACAGGACAACGUCGCUAGGCAACCAGGAGGAAAGUUUUAGCUCUAAGCUGCGCAGGGAAGAAGUGGAACAGCUUAGAAGAGAAGUGGAUCUGCUUAAAAACAAGCUGAUGAGGCAAGAGGAGGAUAUGUACCAACAGCAGUCGGAGUCGAGAGAAACAAGGAGGCAGUAUGAACGCAGCUGCAAGACAUUGGAGAACCUUACAGAUUCUUACCGCACACACAGUUUUGAACUGGCCAGGAUGGUCUCCCAGUAUCAGCACACACAGCAAGAAGUACGAGAACUCAGGCUCACAGUAUCUGAACUGAAGGAUGAAGUGAGAGGCCUGAUUCUGAGAGACAGACUUUCCACACCUGCAGAAGUGCUGUGCAAACCAGCCCCUUCAGCAUCAGCAGUUGCUGUGGAGACGAGUCCCCCGAGACGAGUGCUGUCAGAUUCGGAAGACGACUUUAGCCCCACCCCUAGUCUUGGGGAGGUUAGCUCAGAUGAUCUGGAUGGGUCCUGGCUUGGAGAAUCAGCUCCCAAACUAAGAAGCGGAAGUGGAAGAGGUGCACGCUUUAGCCUCUCAGGAAGUGACCUCAGUGACGCUGGCAGUGGACUUGGAAGUGGACUUGAGAGCAACCAUGAUGACACAGGUGGUGAGGUGGGAGGAGGAUUAGACAGUCCUCCAGACCUCAGUCUCAGUGACCUCUGACAUGAGAAACGGAAAUAAAGCCAUGAGUUUACAGCUGAUGCA